CUCCUCUUGGCCACAUUUCUGUUUUGUAGAUAGAUUCAUUUGUGGCCUGUAGACAGAAGUCCUUGAUGCAGCAAAUUUUAUGGGGAUCAAUCAUCUGCCCAGGACAAGUCAACAGGUAACAGGGUUACCAUUAAACUUCCGUUUCUCUUGAAGAUACGAUGCUUCCCAUUACCUGUGGCAUCUUGGACAAGCCACAGAUGAAAUCUGUCUCAUGGAUAAAGGAAUCCUGAAGACUACACCUAUCUAAAAGCAGGAGCCUGGUCUGCCCAGUUGACCUUUGAUUCUGUGUCUUGAGGAUUUCCUUCAGAGUUGACUGCUAUGAUAAUUUCUUUUCCUAUGAAACAGCACAAUAAAUUGGUGAAUCUGUCCAUGAUAAAUAGAAAUGUCCCAUCUGCUGUUCUGUACCAUUUUUGCUUUACAUUCCAUCAACGAAAUGCUGUAACAGCAGUGCUGACUGGAAAGAAUGACUCUUGAAAAAAUUUCCUUCUUUCUAUUUCCACUCAAUAAUGCAUUUUAAAUCUGUAUCCUUACUUUUCUGGGGAUCAUCAAAUUUAGGCAGAAGUGUUUUAUCAAAUCUGAUCUGGGUUUCUAAUCCACAGAUACUGAAAAGUGAAAGUGAAAGUUGCUCAGUUGUGUCCAGCUCUUUGUAACCUCAUGGGCUAACCCCACAGUCCAUGGAAUUCUCGAGGCAAGAGUACCAGAGUGGGUUGCUGUGCCCUCCUCCAGGGGAGUCUUCCCGACCCAGGGAUGGAACCGGGGUCUCUUGUGUCGCCUGCGUUGGCAGGCAGGUUCUUUACCACUGGCGCCACCUGGGAAGCCCCAGAAGUUGUUCGUUUCAAUGUAAAUAAAUGUAUUUUUUCCUUCAUAGUUAGUGCUCUUUGCCUCUUGGUUAAUAAAUCAUUCUUUAUCCAAAAGAAAGGAUGGUAUUUUCCCACAGUGUCUUCCUAAAGGGCUUUAGUUAGGUUUCGUGUUUACUGAAGAGACGAUUCUUUCCGUAACCCUCUGCAGUGUCGCAGGAGCUCACACCAAGCGUAGGUCUGCGUCUCAGCGGGCCGCUGUGCUCCACUCGUCUGCUGACUACCACUCUGUGGCACUCUCGGGCUUAAUUACUGUGGAACAAGCCUUGAUAUCCGAAGAACAAGAUCUCGUAUCUUGUUUAGUUUUUUAAAAAAAGUGUAUUGAUUAGUCUUGACCCUUUUUACUCCCAUGUACUGGUGGCUCAGACAGUAAAGAAUCCGCCUGCAACAUGGGAGACCAGAGCUCAGGGUUGGGAAGAUCCCCUGGAGAAGGGAACGGCUCCACAACCCUGUAUUCUUGCCUGGAGAAUCCCGUGGACAGAGGAGCCUGGCGGGCUACAGUCCAUGGGGUUGCAAAGAGUCAGACAUGACUGAGUGACUUUCACUUUCACACUGUACAUUUUAGAGUCAGCUGGUUUGGUUCCACAAAAAACAAGCUGGAGUUUGCUGAAGAUUCUCUUGCAUUUCUAAAUCAGUUUAGAGAUAAUUGAAGCCUUUGCAUGAGUUCUGCUUUUGUCUAGUUUUUCCUUUACUGUCUCUCAGUAAAGUUUUAUUUUCUUUGAAAAAAUAUUCUGUUAAGGUUAUUCUUAGGCAUUUAACAUUUAAAAAAUUUAAUAAUUAUUGCAAAUGGCAUAUUGAAUCAUUUUUUGCAAAUUUAAAUUCUAGGUUGAUUUAUAAGAACACAGUAGAUUUUUGUUUGUAGAUACUUCUUCCAUCUUGAUAAAUUCUCUCAUCUGUAGACCUUUUUGGAUGUUCCAAGGACAUAAAUAGAUUACAUGUAAAUAAUAGUUAUGCUUAUUACUUUACAUUUUUACAGAUUUUAAUAUUUUUCUUUGCCUAACUUUGCUGACUAGGAUUGAAAAAUGUCAAACAUUGUUCCCAGUCUUGCAAGGAAGUACUUUAGAGGUAUGCCAUUUAAUAUGAUGUUUGAUAUGUACUCUCUGCACUACAUUUUUUUCCCUCCAGAAUAAGGUGUUGAGCUGGACUUGCAUGCAUCGUUGCAGUCAUUACCCUAAGUCCAGCACCAGGUAUUUCGUUUCCUGGCAACCCUAGUUCUUUGAGAUACUCAAUAAUAAUUAAACGAUUUUGAAGUUUAUUCAGGCUUUCCUGAUUGUUGAAACAGGGGUGCCAGUCUUGUUUUGAAAUUACUUUUCUGAGGCCUAUUUUUUUAUAUCAUAGGAUUUACACCCAAGACAAUUCCUCGGUCCACUUUCCCCACCCCUUCUUCUCCACCAGUAACGACGACAAUUGUUCUCUUUUGUGGUUUGGGGCAAUGUUCUUCCCAGUGGUCUAUAUCCUUGGCUCAAGUGGAGCGUCUGUUGGUUUAGGACGUUUCUUUGCCCACUUACAUGUAAACUGAAGUUUUUAGUCGCAUUGUUCCCAUGUUCACUUUCUGUAUUUUUGGUUUUAUGUUGUUAAGUAUUCUGAAUACACAAGGCCCCCGGUUUUUGGUGGUUCAACAUAAUGACCUUUUGACUUCAAGGUCAUGUGGAAGGUAUAUGCAUUCAGUAGAAAUCGUGCUUCCAAUUUUGAAUCAUACUUUUAAUUUUCUUUUCCCUUGGCUAAUGGUAUGUGGUACAAUUCUCCCUCACGGUGGUGGGCAGUGGCCUCAGCUUCUAGUCAGCCGGGCAAUCAGGGGGGUAAACACGUACAAAACCUAAUGAUGUAAAGAAGCUCACUACAGAAAUUUAACAUUUAACAACAGUGCACUUGGAACCCAUGCUAGACCCACACAACAUUCUGGUUUUCACUUUCAGUUCAGCAUUUAAUAGAUUACAGGAGACAUGCAGCACUUUGUUGUAAAAUAAGCUCUGUGUUAGACGGUUUUGCCCAAGCAUGGACUUUUCUGACAGAGGUGUUGGAGGGCCACGCAUCCCCCCUUCUCCCCUACAGCGUCCAGGUCUAACGGGAAGGUAGGGACAGGUUUCUGUUUGGGGUUUCCCUGGUUGCUCAGUGGCAGAGAAUCUGCCUGCAGAGCAGGAGAUUUCUGAGUCAGGAAGAUCCCCUGGAGAAGGAAAUGGCAGCCCAUUCCAGUAUUCUCGCCUGGAGAAUCCCAUGGACAGAGGAGCCUGGUGGGCUACAGUCCGUGGGGUCGCAAAGAGUCGGACAUGCCUGAGCUGCUGAGCAGCUGCAGAGCACCUUUUUCCCGACCCUGCAGAGCGCCUUUUUCCCAACCCUGCAGAGCGCCCUUUUCCCGACCCUGCAGAGCGCCUUUUUCCCGACCCUCAGAGCUUGUUAGUUUUGUCUGUUCGUGUUUGUUGGCAUGUUUGGUUGCAGGCUUCUGCUUUGAGCUCCAUUUUAUCCCCUUUCUUACUAAAGAUUGCAAAUAGUUUAUUUUCCUGCUUGUAUGUCAGUAGUAACCCUUUUAAGUACCUAAUUCUAAAAUGUAUCAAUACUUCCAUAGCCUACCAUAGAUCUUAGCGUGUUCCGACUGUAACAUCCUCCUUCCAGUUUCUUGCCCAUUAUUAUGGUCAUUUAUUUUGGUUCCAUUUCAUUUGUAAAUUCUCCCAAAUUUUCAUUUUUAUUACAAGCCCUGUUUAUACUCAGUGCUAGUUUUAACUUACUACUCUGUUUGCCAAUUUCUUUAUUCAGCAUUUUUUUUUCUUGUUUCCUAGUCCUCCCUGGUGCAAUUACAUUCUUGCUAAAAUACAAGCUCAAUAGCUUUUUCACUGAGAGUAAAAAAUGGCAAGUCUUUUCUCUUUACUGUAACUAAGCCUGCCUUAUAACAUUCCUCUCAGGGUCACUAAAGUUUAAAAAGUUUUUUAUUGCAGCAUAUACAGAUUGCGUUAGUUUCAGAUGUGUAGCAAAGUGAUUCAGUUAUACAUUUGUGUAUAUACACACACACACACAUUCUUUUUUAAUAUUCUUUCCUGUUGUGGUUUAUCAUGUAUGCUUAGUCGCUCAGCUGUGUCUGACUGUGAGCCCAUGGACUGUAGCCCGCCAGGCUCCUCUGACCAUGGGACUCUCCAGGCAGGAAUGCUGGAGAGGGUUGCCAUGCCCUCCUCCAGGGCGUCCUCCUGACUCAGGGAUAAAACCUGUGUCUCCCGCACUGCAGGCGGGUUCUUUACCUCCGAUAGUUUCUGCUACAUAGUAGAACCUUGUUUGUUUUUUUAAAUUUUUACUGGAGUGUAGGUGAUUUACAGUAUCACGUUAGUUCCAGGUGUAACCACAGAGUGAAUCAGUUACACACAUACAUACAUCUACUCUUUUUCAGAUUCUUUUCCCAUAUAGGUUAUUACAGAGCAUUGAGUAGAGUCCCCUGUGCUAUACACUAGGUUCUUGUUGACUGUCUAUCUUAUAUAUAGAGGUGUGUAUACAUCCACUUGACUAAACUUUGGACAGACUUCUCCCAGGCUCUAGGCCCCUCCACCUCUGAUUUUAAAGAGCAUUUCCUUUAGAAAAGUUGUCGUUUCAAAUUCCUCCUCUGCUCCUUUGAGAUGUAGAUCUUCUCCCGUCCUCUCUCCAGUUUUACAGCCCAGGAAUGGGAGCCAUCCCACUUGAGAUGUCAUCAGCAAGAAAGACAGGGACCCAGUCUCCCAGGCUCUGUGGAAGGUCAGGAGCCUGGCUUCCAAGAACAGUGAGCAGGAACAACUGAGCUGUCACUGUGGCGGUCUCCCCACUGGCCUCACCCAGCGCUUCUCCACUGCACGUAAACCCUCUCGCCUUUGUUUCCGUGGCGUCGAGUUCAGCCUUUCUCCUCUGGUGCAGGAGUCUUUUUUUGAAUUGGAGUACGGUUGAUUUACAGUGUUGUGUGAGUUAGGUGUGCAGCAAGGUGAUUCAGUUAUACACACACACAUAUAUCCUUUUCCAGAUUUUUUUCUGUAUAGCUUGUUACAAGGCAUUGAGUACAGUUCCUUGUGCUAUACAGUAGAUCCUUGCUGGUUAUCUGUUUUAUAUAAAGUAGUGUGUGUAUGUCAGUCCCAAGCACCUGAUUUAUCCAUCCACCUUCCACAUUUUCCCUUUAGUAACUAUAACUUUGUUCUCUAUGAGUCUGUUUGUGUUUUGUGAAUAAGUUCAUUUGUAUCAUUUUUUUAGAUUCCACAUAUAAGUGAUAUUAUAUGAUAUUUCUCUUUGUCUGACUUCCUUCACUUAGCAUGGCAAUCUCUAGAUCUAUCCAUGUUGCUUAAAAUGGCAUUAUUUCAUUCUUUUUUAUGGCUGAGUACUAUUCCAUUAGACGUAUGUACCACACCUCCUUUAUCUGUCAGUGGGCAUUUAGGUUGCUACCGUGUUUUGGCUAUUGUAAAUAAUGCUGCUAUGAACAUUGGGGUGCAUGUAUCUUUUAGAAUUAGAGUUACUGACUUUUCCAGGUACGUGCCCAGGACUAGGAUUCCUGGAUCAUAUGAUAGCUCUACUUUUAGUUUUUAAAGGAGCUUCCAUUCUGUUGUCCAUAUUGCAGUAGUCUUGAAUGAAGUCUUCCUUGUUUGUUUAACUCUAUCUGUUCACAACUCAACAAAAUAUUAUGUUUAUUUUACAUCUCCUGAAUGAUAGAGUAACUUAGAAGAAAACUGAGUUAUUUUUCUCUCUGCACAUUAAAGAUACUAUUAUUGAAAACAGUAUAAUCUAAUGCUAUUUAAGUGUUUUGAAGCAAAUGCCUUUGGGGACACAGAUCUUUAAAAUAUUUAGAAACUGUGGUAGAAUACGCAUAGCAUUUCAGUCAUCUCUGUGUGUGCACUGCCAUGACAUUAAGCCUGUUUGUACCGCCGUGCAACUACCAUCGCCGGGAUCUUUCGUCCUUCCAUGCUGAAGCCUCGCCCCCACUGAGCUGUGCCUCCUCGUCCCCGUUUCUCCCGGCCCCCGGCAGCCGCCAUCCUGCUCCUCCUCGUCCCCGUCUCUCCCGGCCCCCGGCAGCCGCCAUCCUACUUUCUGUCUCUAUGAAUUUGACUACUCUAAUUAUUUUAUAGAAGUGGAAUUACACAAUAUUUGCCCUUUGAAAGUGAAAGUGAGGGUGUUAGUUUCUCAGUUGUGUCUGACUCUUUGUGACCCCAUAGACUGUAGCCCGCCAGGCUCCUCUGUCCAUGGAAUUUUCCAGGCCAGAAUACUGGAGUGGGUUGCCUUUCCCUUCUCCAGGGGAUCUUCCCAACCCAGGGAUCGAACCUGCGUCUCCCACAUUGCAGGCAGAUUCUUUAUCGCCUGAGCCACCUGGGAAACCCCAUGUAUCCUUUAGGGUCUGCUAUAUUUCACCUAGCUUUAAUGUCUUCAAGGUUCUUUCACGUUGUGGAGUCUCAAAAUGUAAUUCUCCAUUUCAAAUUCUUCUGUAUGUGUACUCCAUUCUUUUUACCCGUUCCUUCUGCAGUAGAAAUUUGGGUUGUUUCCACUUUUGUCUACUAUAAAAAACACUGCUAAUGAACAUGGACGUACAAACAUUUCUUUGAGAGUCUGCUUUUCAAUUCUGGAAUUUAUGUUCAAAAAUGGAAUUACUGGGUCAUACGGUAACUCUGUGUUUAAUUUCUUAAAAACGUGUCAUUGUAUUUUCCGCAGAAGCUGCACUAUGCUACGUUUCCGUCAGUACUACAUGAGCUCCAGUUUCUCCACUCCUUCCAGGACUUAUUUUAUCUCUCUCUGUGUUUAAUAAACACCAUCCUAAUGGAGUGGUGUCUCCUGGUAGUUUCGAUUUGCAUUUUGCUAACGAUUAAUGAUGUUCAGCAUCUUUUUAUGUACUUACCGUAUGUUAUUUUCUUUAAAAAAAAAAAAU
ensembl:lncRNA